rnacentral:pre_miRNA from 1 species
UGGAGGAGGCGGGAUCCUGGGCUGUGUCCCGGCGCCCUGUGCUCUGGGGCCUGCGCUGUUGGAUUUGCGCUCCCGCCCCGCAGCCCCCU